GACAGAGGUGCCAAGCGUUAGGCGGAAUCACUGGGCUUAAAGCGUGUGUAGGCGGAUCGUUAAGUACCUUGUGAAAUCCCACGGCUCAACCGUGGAACUGCUGGGUAUACUGGCGAUCUUGAGCCACCUAGGGGCGAGCGGAACAAACGGUGGAGCGGUGAAAUGCGUAGAGAUCGGAAAGAACACCAACGGCGAAAGCACUCUGCUGGGCCGACACUGACACUGAGAGACGAAAGCUAGGGGAGCGAAUGGG
rnacentral:rRNA from 1 species